rnacentral:rRNA from 1 species
GAUGAACGCUAGCGGCAGGCCUAAUACAUGCAAGUCGAGCGGUGUCUUCGGACAUAGUGGCGCACGGGUGCGUAACACGUAUGCAACCUACCUUACAUUGGGGGAUAGCCUUUCGAAAGAGAGAUGAAUACCGCAUAAGACAGUAGCUGGGCAUCCAGCAGCUGUUAAAGAUUUAUCGAUGUAUGCUGGGCAUGCGUCCAAUUAGCUAGUUGGUGAGGUAACGGCUCACCAAGGCUAUGAUUGGUAGGGGAACUGAGAGGUCAAUCCCCCACACUGGCACUGAGAUACGGGCCAGACUCCUACGGGAGGCAGCAGUAGGGAAUAUUGGGCAAUGGACGCAAGUCUGACCCAGCCAUGCCGCGUGCAGGAUGAAGGCGUUAUGCGUUGUAAACUGCUUUUAUACAGGAAGAAACGACUCUUGCGAGAGGCAUUGACGGUACUGUAUGAAUAAGCACCGGCUAACUCCGUGCCAGCAGCCGCAGUAACAC